ensembl:snRNA U4 U4 spliceosomal RNA
AGCUUUGCUCAGUGGCAGUAUCAUAGCCAAUGAGGUUUAUCCGAGGCGCGAUUAUUGCUAAUUGAAAGAAUCAGUUAGAUAAUGAAAUUGACAAUAUCGCACAUCACAUUUUAAUUUUUUUUAUUUUAAUAA